AUUUAUAUAGUUUAAAUAAAACAUUACAUUUUCAUUGUAAAUUUAAAAUAAUUAUUUUUAUAAAUA
rnacentral:tRNA from 2 species